CACCUUUUAUUUCAUUUUUAUUUUGAGUUAAUCCAUUGUUUAUUUAUUUUAGUUUUUUUUUAUAGAUCCACGAGGUGAAAAUUAUACAAAUGGUAAGUAUCUUCACAUUUGGCUAUGCAUAGAAAGAAAUCUUUUUUUUUUGUCACAAAGAAAGAAAUCAUUAUUAAUAUAUUUUAAGAUGGAAUUCUCAUGAUUUUUGUGAUAUUUUUAACGUAUAAAUAUUUUUGCAUAGAAAUAAAUCGUUAUUAAUAUAUUUAUGUGAGAAAUUUAGUUUGAGAAUUCCCCACCAGAAAUGCUCUAAAUAUGUAAGUAAAUAUUUCAAGAACGUUUCCAAAUCCUCUAGUUAGUUUGUAAGUUUGCUUUUGCUUACACUUUUAACAAAUAGGUGCUAAUCAGGCCUAUUCGUUAACAUCUUUUUAAUCAUCCAGAAAAUAAGGAGUUUCUAAAAGUUAUACAUUUGUUAUAAAUUUUCGAUUAGUGAUCUAUGAGAAAACGGAUUUAUAAGAAAGCUAGUUCUUUAUACAACAAUCAUGGGAAUAAAUAAAUUAUCAUAUAUUGUUUAAAAAUAAAAUAAACCAAACCCAUAGAAUACAUAUUUUGCCUUUUAAAAUACACAUGAUUGGAUUAUUGGAGAUUUGGAGUCUUUAUGAAUAUUUUUCACAUGAAUUUGAGAAUCCAUGGACCAGCCAACAAAUUGACAAAAACUAGUUUGUCUUAUUCCUGACCGUGAGCUUGCGGCACAUGAUAUCUCGAAAUAGUUUAUUCUUAUUUCGAUUGCAUUUUACGCAUUUUCUUUAAAAUCCAAAACUCAAACACUUAGACCUCGAUAGAAAAAUAUAGUUUUGUUUUCUUUCUUCUUCUUGGAUGUGGCAAAUGUCAGCUAAAUUAUUCAUCUAGAAGAUCUAUAUGUCAUUGAAUAUUAGUGUUAACUGAAUCGACCUACCGUAUUAUAACAUUUGAUGCUUUGGUUUCUAUAUUCAAAGAUUGUUUUCCACCAAAUCCGGUCCAUAUGUUUGCACUAAUCGCAUUAACCUUGUUGUGUAAGUGAAGCAGUAACCAUAAUUCGUGAAGCAUUAUUAAUCAUAGUUCAUGUAUUUUCAUGCAUGUGAAUAUGUGAUUUAGUCUUGUUUAUUUGUUUUAAAAUUAGUUAGUUAGUUAGUUAGUUCACCUGGUCUAAAACUAUUAUUAUCUUUUAAUACACGUACGUGUAAAUGUUCUGGAAAGUAAGUUGGAAAAUAGAUUCGAAGUUGAUAAGAUUGUGCCAUUAAAAGUCUAUUUUAUAUUAGAUCGAGAUCGGAUGGUUCAGUGGUAAAGAGCUAUUCAUCUCUGGUUUAGUAAGUUCUUGACUUAGUCAAUUUGAGCGUCUGUGCUCUAUAUCUCUGAUUAUCUUCUUUGUUUUGUAAAGUUGGUUCUAAUUCUAUAUUAAAAAAAAAAAAAGAUCGAGAUCGAAUGUUUGUUUUCAAAGGCAGCAAACUGUAAUAGUUUUUUAUGAAAGAUAAAACCCAAACAACCUUUGUGAUCGUUUGAGGCCCAUUGUUCACAAAAUUGAAUCCCUUGGUCUCUCAACUUCACGGUUCACCAGUUUACCUGAGAAGAUAAAACUCUAGCUCCUCCUCCGCUCAGGGGAAGUUAAACUUCAACCGAACAGCUUCUACUAGCCCUUCUCUCUAGGAUGAACUGUGCAAUCUCCGGAGAAGUUCCAGAGGAGCCAGUGGUUUCGACCAAGUCAGGUUUGCUCUUCAAGAAGCGAUUAGUCGAGAGGCAUAUAUAUAUCUGAUUAUGGGAAGUGUCCUGUUACUGGCGAACCUCUUUACCAUUGAUGAUACUGUUCCCAUCAAAACUGGCAAGGUCUUGAACAUUGCAUACAGCUAGCAUCCCUGGAUUGCUUGGAACGUUCCAGAAUGUUGAAUUAAACAAGGUAGUUAGUGGAAAUUUUUUAUCUGUUUUGCACUUUUAGGAAUGGGACGGUUUGAUGCUAUCAAAUUUUGCAUUGGAGCAACAACUGAACACUGCACGACAAGAGCUAAGUCAUGCCUUGUAUCAGCAUGAUUCUGCUUGUCGCGUGAUUGCUCGGCUUAAAAAAGAAAGAGAUGAAGCACACCAAUUGCUUUCAGAAACUGAAAGACAUAUAUACCUUCUGCCCCAGAAGCAGUAGAGUUUGACCCUAGCGGAUUUUAUCUUGACUAUACCAGACGGCGUGUGUGAAAGCUGAAUGGAACCUUAUCAAGACACUCCCAGAUCUCUCCGGCCCUGGUAAAACUCCUUGCCUAAAACUCUCAAGCCCAAGAACCUUUGUAACUUGCAGGUAAAGCUACAUGCGUGAAGUUUGGUUCAGGUGCACGGUACAUUGCAGUUGGUUCAAUGGACAGUAACCUACGGAUAUUUGGUAUUCCUAGUGACGAAAGAGCCAACAACGAAUGAUAACUCUGUUCGUGAAGAAUACGUUAGAAAACUCGGUCAUCUCGUGUUAUACCUAUCCCUCUUGAGUCUCAACUUCUGUUGUAUCUUAAACAUAAUGUUCAGAGCUAUAGGAAGAAUUUGUGCAAGUGUGAUGGUGGUUUCUGUGGUGCUUCCUGGAGCCCAAACGUUCACACUCGCACACACUUGAGAGUUUUCUUGAUCUAUUUCCUCUUAUAUCUUUUUUUUUUUUUUUUUUGAACAGCUCCUCUUAUAUCUUAUAGGUUUUUGUACCUUUAAAACAUCUUCUUUCGUUGAUCACAAAAAAAAACAUGUUAUUUCUGUUGGGUACGAUUGGAGCUAAAUGAAAUUAGGACUUUUUAUUAUACGUAAAACGACCGGGUUAUCGUGACAAAAAAAAAAACGACCGGAUUAAAGCCUGUA